rnacentral:rRNA from 1 species
UGGGGAAUUUUGGACAAUGGGCGAAAGCCUGAUCCAGCCAUGCCGCGUGCGGGAAGAAGGCCUUCGGGUUGUAAACCGCUUUAGUCCGGGAAAAAGGGCUGACGUGCUAAUACCGCGUUGGUUUGAUGGUACUGGAAGAAUAAGCACCGGCUAACUACGUGCCAGCAGCCGCGGUAAUACGUAGGGUGCAAGCGUUAAUCGGAAUUACUGGGCGUAAAGCGUGCGCAGGCGGUGAUGUAAGACAGGUGUGAAAUCCCCGGGCUUAACCUGGGAAUUGCAUUUGUGACUGCAUCGCUGGAGUGCGGCAGAGGGGGAUGGAAUUCCGCGUGUAGCAGUGAAAUGCGUAGAUAUGCGGAGGAACACCGAUGGCGAAGGCAGCCCCCUGGGAUAACACUGACGCUCAUGCACGAAAGCGUGGGGAGCAAACA